UUUAAAUUGAGAGUUUGAUCCUGGCUCAGGACGAACGCUGGCGGCGUGCCUAACACAUGCAAGUCGAGCGAUGAA
rnacentral:rRNA from 2 species